UUUAAAUGCUGCUUUAGAUUAGAAAGUCACCUUGUUAUAUUAUGUGUUCAGUGGGUUCUCAUUUAUACUGCUCAUCAUAUUUUCUGCACUAUCUUUUCAACAUUUUCUCUGAAGUCUAUAAUUUACUCUUCUUCACUUUGAACUUGGGCUCUGCAGGGCUUUGCAUCUUGGACUUCUAUAUGUUGGUUCACUUGUAGUACUUCUUGUGUAUUCUAUCCUGUAUGGUCUGACAGCAAAGGAAUCAAACUGGCUUGGGGCUACAACAUCAGCUGCCGUGAUAAUCCUUGAUUGGAACUUGGGAGCAUGCUUGUAUGGUUUUAAGCUUCUGAAAAGUUGAGUCAUCGUACUUUUUGUUGCCGGUACAUCUCGGGUGUUCCUGAUCUGUUUUGGAGUUCAUUACUGGUACUUUGGACAUUGUAUCAGUUAUGCAGUUGUAGCAUCUGUGCUGUUGGGUGCUGCUGUUUCACGGCAUUUAUCAGUUACAGACCUAUUAUCAGCUAGACGAGAUGCCUUGCAGAGCAUAGUUAUCCGACUUAGAGAAGGUUUCCGCAGAGAAGACCAAAAUAGCUCCGCAAGCUCUUCUUGGUAAUGCAACUGUGCCUUGCACUGGUGAUGGCAGUACCUGGAAUAACAUUGAGGGGAUUAAUAGUGAUAAGAGUAUAGACAGUGGAAGACCAAGUCUAGCUCUACGUAGUAGUUCCUGUCGUUCAGUUGUUCAAGAGCCUGAAGUAGGAUCAUCAUAUGUUGACAGAAAUUUAGAGCAUAAUAGUUCAUUGGUUGUUUGUUCUAGCAGUGUCCUUGAAAGCCAAGGCGGUGAUUCUAGUACAUCCACUUCUGCAAAUCAACAGAUACUGGACUUGAAUUUGGCACUUCAUUUCAAGAAAAGUUGAGUGAUCCCAGGAUUACAUCUAUGUUAAAGCGGAAAGGAAGACACACUGAUCGUGAAUUAGCUAAUUUAUUGCAAGAUAAAGGGCUUGAUCCUAAUUUUGCAGUGAUGCUGAAGGAGAAUGGAUUGGACCCAAUGAUUCUAGCCUUGUUGCAGACAAGUAGUUUAGACGCUGAUCGAGAACAUCGCGACAGUAACCCUCCUGUCACUGAUUCAAAUGAUGUUGAGGAUGUGUUACCUAAUCAUAUUUCAUUCUCGGAAGAACUUAGACUCCAAGCAUUAGGAAGUGGCUUCAACGUUGCAGAGUAAUGUUGCAUCAUGUAGCAGGAACUCCAGAGCGAGUAUAGCUUCUUUUCAGUUUAAUCUUCAUUCUUGAAACCGUCAUUGUGGCUAUCUUCCGACCAAAGACAAUAAAACUUUUGAAUGCUACACACCAACAGGUAAGAAAUGCAUUAGUACUUUUAAAGUUCAGUUUAGUGUAUUUGGAGUACGGUGCAGCUAAAAUG